GGGGCUGGAGAAUGGGCCGGGACAGGGACAGAGGUGUCCACUGGGAGGAGGGAGCAGGCCGGACGUCUGCCCCGUCCCCGGUGGGUGCGGGGGCGUCAGGUGGGCAAAACCCCAGCGAGGGGAAGCUCCAGGUAAGAGGGCGACCGCGCCCAGGAGGGAAGCCCUUACUGCACCGCCCCGGCCUCGCCCCCGGUCCCCGCGGCUGCGCUCCCUACGCCGCCGGGGAGGCGCCGACGCCGGGACCAGGCUGCGGGUUCCGCCUCGGAGUCCUGGCUGCCGGGCACCCCGGCUGGGCCCGCGGGCGCCCGCUCCCCUCGCCGCUGAGGGCUGUCCAGAGAGAGGGCUUGCUCCCCACUCUAGGUCUGAAUCACCACGAACGCGCCUUAAACUCUAUUCCCACCUUUUUGGUUGCUUUUCCUUACGUCCUCUUUAAAUGAGCCUUUGGCUUCUAACAGUCUCCUCCCGAUAGGCGCAAAAGCAGUUUUUUCAGUUCAUUAGGAUAAUGAAUAGCUUACAUUUUUUGAUUGCUAACUAUGCAGAGUAGUUGGC
rnacentral:lncRNA from 1 species